rnacentral:rRNA from 1 species
CCUACGGGAGGCAGCAGUGGGGAAUAUUGCACAAUGGGGGAAACCCUGAUGCAGCAACGCCGCGUGAGUGAAGAAGGAUUUCGGUAUGUAAAGCUCUAUCAGCAGGGAAGAAGAUGACGGUACCUGAAUAAGAAGCCCCGGCUAACUACGUGCCAGCAGCCGCGGUAAUACGUAGGGGGCAAGCGUUAUCCGGAUUUAAUGGGGGUAAAGGGAGCGCAGACGGCUGUGCAAGUCUGGAGGGAAAGCCGGGGGCCCAACCCCGGAACUGCUCUGGAAACUGUGCGGCUAGAGUACUGGAGGGGCAGGCGGAAUUCCUAGUGUAGCGGUGAAAUGCGUAGAUAUUAGGAGGAACACCAGUGGCGAAGGCGGCCUUCUGGACAGUAACUGACGUUGAGGCUCGAAAGCGUGGGGAGCAAACAGGAUUAGAUACCCUAGUAGUC